rnacentral:rRNA from 1 species
GUCGAACGCUGUAGCAAUACAGAGUGGCAGACGGGUGAGUAACGCGUGGGAACAUGCCCUUCGGUUCGGAAUAACUCAGGGAAACUUGAGCUAAUACCGGAUACGCCCUUAGGGGGAAAGAUUUAUUGCCGAAGGAUUGGCCCGCGUCCGAUUAGCUAGUUGGUGUGGUAAUGGCGCACCGAGGCGACGAUCGGUAGCUGGUCUGAGAGGAUGAUCAGCCACACUGGGACUGAGACACGGCCCAGACUCC